GUGUCAGCAGCCGCGGUAAUACGGAGGGGGUUAGCGUUGUUCGGAAUUACUGGGCGUAAAGCGCACGUAGGCGGAUUAGAAAGUUGGGGGUGAAAUCCCGGGGCUCAACCCCGGAACUGCCUUCAAAACUCCUAGUCUAGAGUUCGAGAGAGGUGAGUGGAAUUCCGAGUGUAGAGGUGAAAUUCGUAGAUAUUCGGAGGAACACCAGUGGCGAAGGCGGCUCACUGGCUCGAUACUGACGCUGAGGUGCGAAAGUGUGGGGAGCAAACAGGAUUAGAUACC
rnacentral:rRNA from 1 species